AAUUAGCGCUUUUGUGCGAGGCGCGUUUGUUUUCCCCUCGGGUUGGAGAGAAAUCACUCUUCAAGCGCUUAGAGUGGCGCCGAAAGCGGUGAAUCACCAUCAGCAGUUUCUCUCGAGGGAAAAGCCAAGGGAGAGGAGCGUGUGCAGGGGGCCACCGGGGUGAAUGAGGGUCUGCAAAGAGCACGGCUGUUAGCCAAGAGUUCUGCCCCCUGACCUUUGUCUGCACCGUGUACAGUAGCUCUGCUUUCAGGGCUGCUUUUAACGGCUUUAUUUUCCAAGCGGCAAACGGAGACGAGCGCCCCCUGCUGGCAGACAGAGUCAUAACCUGCCACCGGAGAGAGCAGCUCACGUCCUCCUUAGGUCAGACAGCAGCAGGAAGCUCAGAGGUCGUUUGGACACUAAGCAGCAGAAGCAGCAGCAGCUGAGACGCGGAGCUUUAGUGGAUGAAGGUCUUCACCAG
rnacentral:lncRNA from 1 species